CACGUAGUUAGCCGUGGCUUUCUUGAAUGGUACAGUCAAUCUCUAAUCGUUUCCUAUUAGGGCCGUUCUUCCCAAACAACAGAACUUUACAAUCCAGAGGACCGUCAUCGUUCACGCGGCAUUGCUCGUUCAGGGUUUCCCCCAUUGACGAAUAUUCCUAACUGCUGUCUCCCGUAGGAGUCUGGGGCCGUGUCUCAGUCCCAGUGUGGCCGAUCAACCUCUCAGUUCAGCUAUGCAUCGUUGACUUGGUAGGCUCUUACCCCACCAACUAUCUAAUGCACCGCACGGCCCAUCUCUAGCGAAGCUUUAAAGGCUACCCUUUAAUCCGUAGAUCACUAUUACGGUAUUAACAAUUCCGUUUACCUAAUUCGGUAUACCCCAUUCUAAGAGGUAGGUAACCCUACGUGUUACUCUACCCGUUUGCCUACUAGGUAGUAAAC
rnacentral:rRNA from 1 species